CACACACACACACACACACACACACACACACACACACACACACACACAAUGCUAUGAUGCUUAGUCUGCCCUAAGUGAGUUGAACAUAGAUAUGAACACACCCACCCACCCACACACACACACACACACACAAUGCUAUGAUGCUUAGUCUGCCCUAAGUGAGUUGAACAUAGAUAUGAACACACACACACACACACACACACACACAAUGCUAUGAUGCUUAGUCUGCCCUAAGUGAGUUGAACAUAGAUGUGAAUCACGCAUGCUCAAGCGUGAACGGUUUAACCCUCUAACCGCACAGGGUUUUUUUUUAUUUUUGCAUAAAAAAAUCAAAAUGCCAUGGCUUGAAAGUGGUAAGAGAUAAAGUCCUCCUGUAAAUGUGAAAAUCAUUGAGUAUGAACUAAAGUUUAUGAAGGGAGUAAAUUUACUGAUCUAAUUAGCAUAUUAUGACAUCACAGGAUGGCAAUAACGUUAAAUUAUGCACAGAGCCGCUGGCUGGGCUACUUCAAAUAGACUUAACCAGAGAUGACCGGAGCACUCACAUUACUUAAUAACCUUUUUAUAUAUUGUGGUGCACCACAAUAUAAAUCUAAAAAAAUAUUCUCUGGCGUUAGCCAGAGCUCACAGAGUUAAGGGCUUUAGCAUUAGCCAGAGCGCACAGUGUUGAGGAGCUUUAGCGUUAGCCAGAGCUCACAGUGUUGAGGAGCUUUAGCGUUAGCCAGAGCUCACAGUGUUGAGGAGCUUUAGCGUUAGCCAGAGCUCACAGUGUUGAGGAGCUUUAGCGUUAGCCAGAGCUCACAGUGUUGAGGAGCUUUAGCGUUAGCCAGAGCUCACAGUGUUGAGGAGCUUUAGCGUUAGCCAGAGCUCACAGUGGCUGUGUCUCAUAUGGCGCACUUGCACACUAAAAGCACGAUUUUUAGGGCAUAGUGCGUUCACACUGAAAAACAAGCGAAAACUCAGUGCUCUGAAAGUACCCGGAUGGUGCCCUAAUAACGGACAAAAAUCCAGUGUAAGAUGAUGGACACUACUUACACUAAACGGACGCCAUUUUGCCUGCGUAGCGGAAGGGGAGGGGCUUUUUCCCCAAGUUUUCAGAUUUGAAAUAAUGGCGGCCAGCACCGAGAUGGAAGCGAUGAAAGCAGCGAUGCAAGCCGAGGGGAACUGCUUCGUAAAAAUGGACAGAUGAGGACACCGGGGCCGUAAUAUUGUGGCGGCCAGCCAAUGUGGCGCUUUUCACGGGGAAGAGGAACGGUACGGACACCUACAGGUUUGUAUUAAAUGCAACGGUAAGUGUUGAACUCAUGUGGGUAUGAUAGUUAGUACGCUUUUUUGCUUCUUGUAACUUGUGACUAAAUAAUUUUCGUAAUGUAUUUUUGUUGUACAUCACGUUGUACAAAAGUCUGCAAAAUAUCCAUAAUCAUUAUAGUCUACAUCUGGGAGGGUCUCCAAUAUUUUUCGCCAAAGAAUAGUGAAACUGGGAUAGUUUUCUACCAUUGCCUACCAGACAAGAUGUUUGACUAACUUUUUUAAUGUUGACAGAUGUAAGACAAAGAUUAUGUUAUCAGAUUGAUUUAGUGAUAAGUGAUAGCGAUUAAAGUUGUGUCUAUGUUGUGUCUAGUCUUAAUUAGAUCUUAUAUCUUCAGUUUGCUUAUUCUGAGGUGUUGAAUGAAUGAAGACACUAGCUGGGCAGACACUUUUAUCCAAAGUGACUUACAUUGUCAACUCUUGAAAAGAUUUGGAUAGUUUAAAUGUAAUUAAGAUCAGGGGCAUAACAUGCUGUUUCCAUCCUCUGUCUGUUGUCAGCCCCAGAGGUGGUUCCUGGAGGUACUGGUCCUGGUGCGGGUUGGUCCCUUGCUGCUCUCCCAACAUCGACAUCAGCAUCUGGCUCCAGGACGUCCCCGUUGCUCACACAGAUGUUGUGGAGAACAGUACAGCACACAAUGACCUCCGGCACAUACUUCACCUCCACCUCCAGAGCCUUGAGGAAAAUGGACUGCCAUCUUGUUUUCAGGACCCCAAAAGACUACCCUUGACAGGUAGCAGUUGUAUAUUGCUUGGAGGUGGUUCUAACAGGCUGUCUGAAGGGUGUCAUGAGGCAGAUGGGGCAGAUGGGGCGUGACAAGCAGGGGUAGCCACAUCUCCAAUGUGCAGUAUCCUGUGGGGGGUAGGACUGCUCAUAGUAGAGGGGCCUUUUUGUAGGACUCGGGCGUCGUGGACUGACCCACAACAUCCAACAAACACGUCCAGAAAUCUUCCACCGUCGUCACAGAUGACCUGCAGCUGGACGGAGUGAAAUAGCAGGGAGCGUCCUCUGCAGGGGGCUUCACGCGGAUGUGCCAUCAGUCAAUCGCUCCUACCACCCUGUUGAAGGCAGCAGAUCCGGCUAGGCGGGCAAAGCGGGCACCCAAGCGAGAGAGUUCCUCUGCGGUGGGAUGGCGGACCACUUCAUAAAGCAGAACAGCAAUCUUUUUUAUUUUAUAUUGAUUUUAAUAAAGAAUGUGAAAGUUUGCUGCA